rnacentral:lncRNA from 1 species
AAGAUGAUUGCUAAAAUGAACUUGGUAUUCCAAUAUGGGGGAAAUUGAGUAUUUUCACCUGAAAUAGUGUAUGAUCAGAAAUAUUCUGUAGACAUUGAAGCUAGGGUGUUUCCCCAAAUAUUAUUUAUCAUAAAGAGAAAUAUUCUGUACACAUUGAUGCAGCUUCUAAAUGUGAAAGUAGUUUGCGUGGUGAUAUUUUUGAUGCUUUGGAAUGUUC